ACUUAGCCUGGUCAGUCCAUGUCCAUGCUGUUUACUUUUUUUUCUGAAGUCCUUUGCACCCCCAUUUUCUCUUUAGGGUUCCUGCAGUCUGUCCAUAGCCCAACUACGGACGGACUCUGUGCUGUGCCCUGGGGAAGUCUGCAGGGAGGAAGAUGGGGGCUGCCCCCUAGUCUGGUAGAAAGAAAUAAAACACAUCUCGGCAUUUAACAACUUAAAUGUGUACUUAAAACCUCACAAACAGCCUUGUAAGAGCCCAUGCUGCUUUGGAGUGGGAAGGAAAGGAGAGGGGGCAGGGAAGUUAAGCAACUUGCCUGCUCUCGCUGAGGCUAGUUGGUGCUGGAGCAAGGACAGAACGCCACUGCUUUCCCCCCUGAACCUGGUGGCUGCUGUAUGCCUGGCACUGUGUGUGCCUGACAGUGCUGUAGGAACACUGUUUCCUCUGCCAAUUUUGUUUUUAAAAUAACAUUCCUUGUCCUUAAGGCCUAGUUCAAAUGCCCCUUCUUUCAUGAUGCCUUCCCUAUAACACCGCCUCUCGUGACACUUAGAGACAGCUAAUAGUUGCAAGAAGAGGCAUUAUAUAUAUUUAUAUAUAAUCAUAUAGUUCAAUAUAACAAACCUGUGUGGAGGGUCCACUCUGUGCCAGACAGACGUCUACAAACUAGCCUCCCCUCCUUGAGGACAAGAAGCAACCAUUGCUUCUACUUCUCUUUGUAUCUCACCGUAUAAAGUGCUUUCAAAAAUC